UUUGAAUGUAAGCAUGCUUUUGUAUAGAGCAGGGUUUCCCAAACCAGUCCUCAAGACCCACCAACAGUCCAUGUGUUGUCAGUAUCUUUAUUGGAAUAAAACAGGGAAAUGCAUAAAUCCUGGUAUGUUGUGUUGGCUUUUAAAUGCAGAUGUACACUUGUGUGUAGUUUUGGCAUUUAAAUUAAUUGCUGUGUUUGUAUAUAAUUUGGGAGUUUGAAUGCAGGGCUGUGCUUGUUUGUAAUGUUUG